rnacentral:rRNA from 1 species
UGGGGAAUAUUGGACAAUGGGCGAAAGCCUGAUCCAGCCAUGCCGCGUGUGUGAAGAAGGUCUUCGGAUUGUAAAGCACUUUAAGGUGGGAGGAAGGGCAGUAAGCGAAUACCCUGCUGUUUUGACGUUACCGACAGAAUAAGCACCGGCUAACUCUGUGCCAGCAGCCGCGGUAAUACAGAGGGUGCAAGCGUUAAUCGGAAUUACUGGGCGUAAAGCGCGCGUAGGUGGUUCGUUAAGUUGAAUGUGAAAGCCCCGGGCUCAACCUGGGAACUGCAUCCAAAACUGGCGAGCUAGAGUAGGGCAGAGGGUGGUGGAAUUUCCUGUAUAGCGGUGAAAUGCGUAGAUAUAGGAAGGAACACCAGAGGCGAAGGCGACCACCUGGGCUCAUACUGACACUGAGGUGCGAAAGCGUGGGGAGCAAACAGG